rnacentral:rRNA from 1 species
GCAAAACGCGAAGAACCUUACCUACUCUUGACAUCCAGAGAACUUUCCAGAGAUGGAUUUGGUGCCUUCGGGAACUCUGAGACAGGUGCUGCAUGGCUGUCGUCAGCUCGUGUUGUGAAAUGUUGGGUUAAGUCCCGCAACGAGCGCAACCCGUUAUCCUUUGUUGCCAGCGGUUAGGCCGGGAACUCAAAGGAGACUGCCAGUGAUAAACUGGAGGAAGGUGGGGAUGACGUCAAGUCAUCAUGGCCCUUACGAGUAGGGCUACACACGUGCUACAAUGGCGCAUACAAAGAGAAGCGACCUCGCGAGAGCAAGCGGACCUCAUAAAGUGCGUCGUAGUCCGGAUUGGAGUCUGCAAUUCGACUCCAUGAAGUCGGAAUCGCUAGUAAUCGUAGAUCAGAAUGCUACGGUGAAUACG